rnacentral:rRNA from 1 species
GUCCAGAUUAGAAUUUUAGUUCAACCUUAAAUUUACCUAAAAGAAUUAUUAAUCCUAAUGUAAAUUUAAUAGUCAUUCUAAAGAGGUACAGCUCUUUAGACAAAGGAAAUAGCCUUAAUUAGAGAGUAAACUAUAAACCCCACAUAGUUGGCUUAAAAGCAGCCAUCAAUUAAAAAAGCGUUCAAGCUUAACUUAAUUAUCCAACCCAACUUAAUCCCACACCUAAUUAUGAACUCCUAAUUUCAUAACUGGACUACUCUAUAAUUUUAUAGAUGCAAUAAUGUUGAUAUUAGUAACAAGAAAUAAUUCUCCUUGCACAGGCUUAUAUCAGACCGAAUAAUUCACUGAUAGUUAACAGAUGUAUAAUUAUACUUAAAAUCUUAAAUCUUUAUUACUAAAACUGUUAACCCAACACCGGCGUGCAAUAAAGGAAAGAUUAAAAAAAGUAAAAGGAACUCGGCAAACAUUAACCCCGCCUGUUUACCAAAAACAUCACCUCUAGCAUUACUAGUAUUAGAGGCACUGCCUGCCCAGUGACAUGUGUUCAACGGCCGCGGUAUCCUGACCGUGCAAAGGUAGCAUAAUCAUUUGUUCCUUAAAUAGGGACUUGUAUGAAUGGCUACACGAGGGUUAAACUGUCUCUUACUUUUAAUCAGUGAACUUGACCUUCCCGUGAAGAGGCGGGGAUAACAUAAUAAGACGAGAAGACCCUAUGGAGCUUAAAUCUGCCAGCUUAAGCAUCUACUAACUCCUCCCAACAGGGAUUAAUUCAUCUGCCUCAUUAAGCUUAAGAUUUUGGUUGGGGUGACCUCGGAGUAUAAAACAACCUCCGAAUGAUUUUAGUCUAGACCAGACCAGUCAAAACAACUAUUCAUUAAUUGACCCAAAUUAUUGACCAACGGAACAAGUUACCCUAGGGAUAACAGCGCAAUCCUACCCAAGAGUCCAUAUCGACAGUAGGGUUUACGACCUCGAUGUUGGAUCAGGACAUCCAAGUGGUGCAACCGCUACUAAUGGUUCGUUUGUUCAACGAUUAAAG